AAGAAAAAGAGGCAACAGCGAGAGAAGAAUCAAUUCAACCGAAAGAAGAAAAAGAAGCAGAUGAAGAAAAACAAGCAAUAGCUGCUGAACUAAUCGGAGGGGGUGGUUCUACCAAAGACACAAAGGAAGCG
rnacentral:sRNA from 1 species